UGGGGAAUAUUGGACAAUGGGCGCAAGCCUGAUCCAGCCAUGCCGCGUGAGUGAUGAAGGCCCUAGGGUUGUAAAGCUCUUUCACCGGUGAAGAUAAUGACGGUAACCGGAGAAGAAGCCCCGGCUAACUUCGUGCCAGCAGCCGCGGUAAUACGAAGGGGGCUAGCGUUGUGGAUUUACUGGGCGUAAAGCGCACGUAGGCGGACUUUUAAGUCAGGGGUGAAAUCCCGGGGCUCAACCCCGGAACUGCCUUUGAUACUGGAAGUCUUGAGUAUGGUAGAGGUGAGUGGAAUUCCGAGUGUAGAGGUGAAAUUCGUAGAUAUUCGGAGGAACACCAGUGGCGAAGGCGGCUCACUGGACCAUUACUGACGCUGAGGUGCGAAAGCGUGGGGAGCAAACAGG
rnacentral:rRNA from 1 species